UGAGGAAUAUUGGUCAAUGGGCGAGAGCCUGAACCAGCCAAGUAGCGUGCAGGAUGACGGCCCUAUGGGUUGUAAACUGCUUUUAUAUGGGAAUAAAGUGAGGGACGUGUCCCUUAUUGCAUGUACCAUACGAAUAAGGACCGGCUAAUUCCGUGCCAGCAGCCGCGGUAAUACGGAAGGUCCAGGCGUUAUCCGGAUUUAUUGGGUUUAAAGGGAGCGUAGGCUGUUUGUUAAGCGUGUUGUGAAAUGUAAGAGCUCAACUUUUAGAUUGCAGCGCGAACUGGCAGACUUGAGUGCGCACAACGUAGGCGGAAUUCAUGGUGUAGCGGUGAAAUGCUUAGAUAUCAUGACGAACUCCGAUUGCGAAGGCAGCUUCCGGGAGCGCAGCUGACGCUAAAGCUCGAAGGUGCGGGUAUCGAACAGG
rnacentral:rRNA from 1 species